UCCGGCACGGCCGGGGCUGCGCGCAUUUGUGCAGCUGCAUCAGGAACCCGAGAGUCAAAUCCUAAAUCCUGUCUGUUUGCGGGGAUUAGCCUGUUCUGCUAACUCGCUGAGAUGCACAAUGAAUAUUCUGCAGCCCCUUGUUUGUCAGGAGCUGUCUGCCUUUCAUCUAUUCAGAGCUGAACGGGGAUAAAUGGUUUGAAGAUGUUAUCGGAGUUCCUCUCGAACACCUCUUGUCACUGGAGGAGCCUCCAGUGUCCCUUUUAUCUCCAUCAGAGGCUGCUCUGUCUGGAGAACCAACCUGGAAACUCUUUCAGUCAGUUGUGACUCAUGAGGAGAGCAGCCAUGAGAAAGCCGAGAGCACCGUCCUGAACCUGAAUGCUCGCUCUGUUUGCUUGCUGUGGUUUGUUGGAUUUUCAUAAAAUAGUUUACACUGCCCUUCUGCUCCUAAUAUAAGGCCAUUAAAAACAUUCUCAAAAAUGCUGAUUUUCAAACUAAAUGGGGGCAUGGAAGAUUGAAGCCUCCUUCCCACUGAAACUGACAGUUCCAGUGUGGUGGUGCCCUGGGACGCUGGAUUCCUGGCAGUGGGACUGGCAGGUCCUGACUUUUAUACAGGAUUCUUGUCCCAAGCUCAUCCCAUCCCAUCCCAUCCCAUCCCAUC